GAUGAACGCUAGCGGCAGGCCUAAUACAUGCAAGCUGAACGGUAAAUAUCUCAGCAAUGGGAUAUGAGAGUAGCGUAAGGGUGCGUAACACGUAUGCAAUCUGCCCUGUACAGGAGGAUAGCUCGGGGAAACUCGGAUUAAUACUCCGUAAGAUAUUGGUGGGGCAUCCCACAGAUAUUAAAGUCGCGAGACGGUAUAGGAUGAGCAUGCGUCUGAUUAGCUAGUUGGUGGUGUAACGGACCACCAAGGCGAUGAUCAGUAGGGGAACUGAGAGGUUGAUCCCCCACACUGGCACUGAGAUACGGGCCAGACUCCUACGGGAGGCAGCAGUAGGGAAUAUUGGUCAAUGGGUGAGAGCCUGAACCAGCCAUGCCGCGUGCAGGAAGACGGCCUUCUGGGUUGUAAACUGCUUUUAACGGGGGAUAAAACGCUCAUGCGUGAGCGAUUGAAGGUACCCGUUGAAUAAGCCACGGCUAACUACGUGCCAGCAGCCGCGGUAAUACGUAGGUGGCGAGCGUUGUCCGGAUUUAUUGGGUUUAAAGGGUGCGUAGGCGGCCUUGUAAGUCAGUUCUGAAAUAUCCCGGCUUAACCGGGAGGGUGGGAUUGAUACUGCAGGGCUUGAGUAGAGUCGAGGGUAGGCGGAAUUGACGGUGUAGCGGUGAAAUGCUUAGAUAUCGUCAAGAACACCGAUAGUGUAGACAGCUUACUAGACUUCAACUGACGCUGAGGCACGAAAGUGUGGGGAUCAAACAGGAUUAGAUACCCUGGUAGUCCACACUGUAAACGUUGAUUACUCGCUGUGUGCGAUAUACAGUACGCGGCUUAGCGAAAGCGAUAAGUAAUCCACCUGGGGAGUACGCCGGCAACGGUGAAACUCAAAGGAAUUGACGGGGACCCGCACAAGCGGUGGAUUGUGUUCUUUAAUUCGAUGAUAAACGAAGAACCUUACCAGGGUUUGACAUCCCUUGAAUUUUGCCGAAAGGCGAGAGUGCUUUAUUGAACAAGGUGACAGGUGAUGCAUGGCCGUCGUCAGCUCGUGUCGUGAGAUGUUUGGUUAAGUCCAUCAACGAGCGCAACCCUUGUCUUCAGUUGGAUUUUUCUGAAGAGACUGCCCCGGCAACGGGGAGGAAGGAGGGGAUGAUGUCAGGUCAGUAUUUCCCUUACAUCCUGGGCUAGAAACGCAAUACAAUGGCGAGUACAAUGCGCAGCGAAGCGGCAACGUGAAGCAAAUCGCAUCAAAGCUCGUCCCAGUUCGGAUUGGGGUCUGCAACUCGACCCCAUGAAGUCGGAGUCGCUAGUAAUCGCAGAUCAGCAACGCUGCGGUGAAUACGUUCCCGGGCCUUGUACUC
rnacentral:rRNA from 1 species